AUGGAGUUGGUCCUGAAAUGGGUUUUCCUGUUUGCAGUUUUCAAAGGUGUCCUGUGUAAGGUACGGCUGGUGGAGUCCGAAGGAGGCUUGGUACAGCCUGGGGGAUCUCUGCGACUCUCUUGCGUGGCUUCGGGAUUCACCUUCAGUAGCUAUGGCAUGGACUGGAUCAACCAGGCUCCAAGGAAGGUGCUGGAAUGGAUUUCAGCUAUCAGUAGCAAUAGUAAAAAUACAUACUACGCAGACUCUGUGAAGGGUCGAUUCACCAUCUCCAGGGACAAUGGCAAAAACACGCUGUAUCUGCAAAUGAGUAGCCUAAGACUCGACGACACGGCCAUGUAUUACUGUGCAAGAUACACAUUGAGGGAAACCUCUGUGGGAGUCAGUCAUAAACCUCCGUGUUGGAAUACAUAG